GAGGAUAUAGUUUAAUUGGCAGAACGUCUGUAUGUGGAACAGUUAGUUCCCUGUUCAACUCGGGGUGUCCUCC
rnacentral:tRNA from 1 species